rnacentral:lncRNA from 1 species
GCAAAGAGAGGCUAUCCCAGCUGUUAGGCUUCUCUGUAGGCCAUCUCCCAUUUAAAUAUUUAGGAGUACCUCUGGACUCAAAGAAACUAAGCGUAGCUAACUGCUGGCCACUGGUGGAAAAAAUCACAGCAAAAAUAACAUGCUGGUCGUCGAGACUUCUAUCCUAUGCUGGCCGAUGCAACUGAUUAAAUCAGUACUGUUUGGAAUUCAAGCCUACUGGUCCCAAAUCUUUCUGCCUAAAAAUAACAUGCUGGCCGUCGAGACUUCUAUCCUAUGAUGGCCGACUGCAACUGAUUAAAUCAGUACUAUUUCAAAUUCAAGCCUACUGGUCCCAAAUCUUUCUGCUGCCUAAGAAGAUACUCAAAAUGACUGAAGCGAUAUGCUGGUCUUAC